GGCUCAGAUUGAACGCUGGCGGCAUGCCUUACACAUGCAAGUCGAACGGCAGCGGACCUUCGGGUGCCGGCGAGUGGCGAACGGGUGAGUAAUAUAUCGGAACGUACCUUUCAGUGGGGGAUAACGUAGCGAAAGUUACGCUAAUACCGCAUAUUCUGUGAGCAGGAAAGCAGGGGAUCGCAAGACCUUGCGCUGAUUGAGCGGCCGAUAUCAGAUUAGCUAGUUGGUGAGGUAAAGGCUCACCAAGGCGACGAUCUGUAGCGGGGUCUGAGAGGAUGAUCCGCCACACUGGAACUGAGACACGGUCCAGACUCCUACGGGAGGCAGCAGUGGGGAAUUUUGGACAAUGGGCGCAAGCCUGAUCCAGCCAUGCCGCGUGAGUGAAGAAGGCCUUCGGGUUGUAAAGCUCUUUCGGCCGGGAAGAAAUCGCACGGGUUAAUACCCUGUGUGGAUGACGGUACCGGAAUAAGAAGCACCGGCUAACUACGUG
rnacentral:rRNA from 1 species